CAAAUAUUUCCUACCCAAUAACAAGCAGACGCUUAUCACCAUAUCUAGUGACAAAGACAUCCAGCGCAUGAUUGAUUUCCAUGAAGAUUCUAAAACUGUUGAUUUAUUUGUCAUGACAAACNNNNNNNNNNAGGCCUCAGUUACGCCUUGUAGUAGGUCCAGUGGCAAUGCAAUAAUUGAACCUGUCACCCCUCUCAAUGUUGCUCCUGUUGCUUCUAUUGCUGGGGAUACCGAGCA
rnacentral:misc_RNA from 1 species